AGACCCGAAACCCGGUGAUCUAGCCAUGGGCAGGUUGAAGGUUGGGUAACACUAACUGGAGGACCGAACCGACUAAUGUUGAAAAAUUAGCGGAUGACCUGUGGCUGGGGGUGAAAGGCCAAUCAAACCGGGAGAUAGCUGGUUCUCCCCGAAAGCUAUUUAGGUAGCGCCUCGUGAAUUCAUCUCCGGGGGUAGAGCACUGUUUCGGCUAGGGGGCCAUCCCGGCUUACCAACCCGAUGCAAACUGCGAAUACCGGAGAAUGUUAUCACGGGAGACACACGGCGGGUGCUAACGUCCGUCGUGAAGAGGGAAACAACCCAGACCGCCAGCUAAGGUCCCAAAGUCAUGGUUAAGUGGGAAACGAUGUGGGAAGGCCCAGACAGCCAGGAUGUUGGCUUAGAAGCAGCCAUCAUUUAAAGAAAGCGUAAUAGCUCACUGGUCGAGUCGGCCUGCGCGGAAGAUGUAACGGGGCUAAACCAUGCACCGAAGCUGCGGCAGCGAACGUAUCACUUAAAGCGAUUCAGCGGGUUACGAUUGACGGAGCGAAGCGACGUCAAAGCGUAUACAAAGUCGAGUCGGUUUAAGGAUACGUUCGUUGGGUAGGGGAGCGUUCUGUAAGCCUGUGAAGGUGUGUCGUGAGGCAUGCUGGAGGUAUCAGAAGUGCGAAUGCUGACAUAAGUAACGAUAAAGCGGGUGAAAAGCCCGCUCGCCGGAAGACCAAGGGUUCCUGUCCAACGUUAAUCGGGGCAGGGUGAGUCGACCCCUAAGGCGAGGCCGAAAGGCGUAGUCGAUGGGAAACGGGUUAAUAUUCCCGUACUUGGUGUUACUGCGAAGGGGGGACGGAGAAGGCUAUGUUGGCCGGGCGACGGUUGUCCCGGUUUAAGCGUGUAGGUGUGUGUUCCAGGUAAAUCCGGUUCACUUUAACACUGAGGCGUGAUGACGAGGCACUACGGUGCUGAAGCAACAAAUGCCCUGCUUCCAGGAAAAGCCUCUAAGCAUCAGGUAACAUCAAAUCGUACCCCAAACCGACACAGGUGGUCAGGUAGAGAAUACCAAGGCGCUUGAGAGAACUCGGGUGAAGGAACUAGGCAAAAUGGUGCCGUAACUUCGGGAGAAGGCACGCUGACAUGUAGGUGAAGUGAUUUACUCAUGGAGCUGAAGUCAGUCGAAGAUACCAGCUGGCUGCAACUGUUUAUUAAAAACACAGCACUGUGCAAACACGAAAGUGGACGUAUACGGUGUGACGCCUGCCCGGUGCCGGAAGGUUAAUUGAUGGGGUCAGCGCAAGCGAAGCUCCUGAUCGAAGCCCCGGUAAACGGCGGCCGUAACUAUAACGGUCCUAAGGUAGCGAAAUUCCUUGUCGGGUAAGUUCCGACCUGCACGAAUGGCGUAAUGAUGGCCAGGCUGUCUCCACCCGAGACUCAGUGAAAUUGAACUCGCUGUGAAGAUGCAGUGUACCCGCGGCAAGACGGAAAGACCCCGUGAACCUUUACUAUAGCUUGACACUGAACAUUGAGCCUUGAUGUGUAGGAUAGGUGGGAGGCUUUGAAGCGUGGACGCCAGUCUGCGUGGAGCCGACCUUGAAAUACCACCCUUUAAUGUUUGAUGUUCUAACGUGGAUCCGUAAUCCGGGUUGCGGACAGUGUCUGGUGGGUAGUUUGACUGGGGCGGUCUCCUCCUAAAGAGUAACGGAGGAGCACGAAGGUUGGCUAAUCCUGGUCGGACAUCAGGAGGUUAGUGCAAUGGCAUAAGCCAGCUUGACUGCGAGCGUGACGGCGCGAGCAGGUGCGAAAGCAGGUCAUAGUGAUCCGGUGGUUCUGAAUGGAAGGGCCAUCGCUCAACGGAUAAAAGGUACUCCGGGGAUAACAGGCUGAUACCGCCCAAGAGUUCAUAUCGACGGCGGUGUUUGGCACCUCGAUGUCGGCUCAUCACAUCCUGGGGCUGAAGUAGGUCCCAAGGGUAUGGCUGUUCGCCAUUUAAAGUGGUACGCGAGCUGGGUUUAGAACGUCGUGAGACAGUUCGGUCCCUAUCUGCCGUGGGCGCUGGAGAACUGAGGGGGGCUGCUCCUAGUACGAGAGGACCGGAGUGGACGCAUCACUGGUGUUCGGGUUGUCAUGCCAAUGGCACUGCCCGGUAGCUAAAUGCGGAAGAGAUAAGUGCUGAAAGCAUCUAAGCACGAAACUUGCCCCGAGAUGAGUUCUCCCUGAGACUUAGAGUCUCCUGAAGGAACGUUGAAGACGACGACGUUGAUAGGCCGGGUGUGUAAGCGCAGCGAUGCGUUGAGCUAACCGGUACUAAUGAACCGUGAGGCUUAACCUUACA
rnacentral:rRNA from 1 species